rnacentral:rRNA from 1 species
UACGAAGGGGGCUAGCGUUGCUCGGAAUUACUGGGCGUAAAGAGUGUGUAGGCGGUGUUCUAAGUUUGUCGUGAAAUCUCCCGGCUUAACUGGGAGGGUGCGGCGAAAACUGGAAUGCUAGAGGAUGGGAGAGGUAAGCGGAAUUCCUGGUGUAGCGGUGAAAUGCGUAGAUAUCAGGAGGAACACCGGUGGCGAAGGCGGGUCUCUGGGCAGUAACUGACGCUGAGGAGCGAAAGCGUGGGGAGCAAACAGG